UCGAGGGCUUCCGUUCAAAAAUUCCUAACUUAUAUCUUGUAACCACGCGGACGAGGUCGGGGGCAACAGCAAGUCAUAUAAUAAAGGCAUGAACCAGCAACCAUACAACCUAUAGACGCCUAAUGCUUAAAAAAGUUCUGUCAACUGGCUGAGGUAGAUGAAAUAGUAUGCUUUUUAGCUGGAUUCAUCAAAUGAAGAUUUGAAGAUUUCCAGUUGUAUUAAAAUUGAAACUAUUCCUAUUCUCUUAAGCAUUUUGCCAAUAAAAUAAUUGGAAAUCCAUUAUAUUGACCAUUGUGCUGUUUGAUCCGAACGCAGAGCCACCAAUUGGACUUUUUAAACAUAAUCUAUGACCAUUCAUCGAGGAAGAUUUUAGGCUAUAAA